CAGAAGUUAGGCCUUGGUUAAGAUACGUUUUUUUCAAGUUUAAUCUGAAGUUAGGCUUGGUUAAGAUACGUUUUUCAAGUCAGUCAGAAGUUAGGCCUUGGUUAAGAUACGUUUUUCAAGUCAGUCAGAAGUUAGGCCUGGUUAAGAUACGUUUUUCAAGUCAGUCAGAAGUUAGGCCUUGGUUAAGAUACGUUUUUCAAGUCAGUCAGAAGUUAGGCCUUGGUUAAGAUACGUUUUUCAAGUCAGUCAGAAGUUAGGCCUUGGUUAAGAUACGUUUUUCAAGUCAGUCAGAAGUUAGGCCUUGGUUAAGAUACGUUUUUCAAAAAGGGAUUUUUUUUUUUUUUUUGCCACAUUCUCCAAAGAGAUACUGUGAACAGAAUCAUACAUUUGCAAUGUGUUGUCAGACAGUAUGGUUAAUUUUAACAGUAGAA